CCAGAUCUAACGGGGUGCUUUGUCCUAUCCGGGACAAGGCUGAGAGGCUUAGCCAACCCGAAGAACCUGAUCCGGUUAACACCGGCGGAGGGAUUAGACGGCUUCCAUUC
rnacentral:ncRNA from 2 species